rnacentral:rRNA from 1 species
GACGAACGCUGGCGGCGUGCUUAACACAUGCAAGUCGAGCGGUAAGGCCCUUUCGGGGUACGACGAGCGGCGAACGGGUGAGUAACACGUGGGUGACCUGCCCUCAGCUCUGGGAUAAGCCUGGGAAACUGGGUCGUAAUACCGGAUAUGACUCCAUGACGCAUGUUGUGGGGUGGAAAGCCUUGUGCGGCUGAGGAUGGGCCCGCGGCCUAUCAGCUUGUUGGUGGGGUGAUGGCCUACCAAGGCGACGACGGGUAGCCGGCCUGAGAGGGCGACCGGCCACACUGGGACUGAGACACGGCCCAGACUCCUACGGGAGGCAGCAGUGGGGAAUCUUGCGCAAUGGGCGAAAGCCUGACGCAGCGACG